GGCUCAGAGAGGCAGGGUGACAUCACAGAGCUCCUCGGUGGCAAAGCCACAUCAGGAGCGACGACUGCUAAUUCUGAGUCGCUACACCCUCCCGGCCUCUGCGAGGAAGGACCCGGGGGCUCAGAUGCCCCUCAUUCCUGACAGCAGCUACAGGGUCCCUGCCAGCCCCAGAAACCGGGCCCUGUGCCCCGAUCCCGUUCACCACCUGGCCGGCUGUGUGGGCAGGAUGCUGUGUCCUUCCUGUGAGCCAGGAGCUGAUUAACACACGCUCAGCAGGGAGGAGGAGGCAGAAGCGGGCGCAGACAUCGCAGCCGAGGCUUUGGGACCGUGCCGGGCUAAUUUCUCUGCAGCCCCGGGCUUCCCCCCACUCGGGAAUAGCGGCUUCCCAGUCUCGCCCAGCGCGCCCCCCUUCCGAACGCCAGCAAGAUUGCAUUUGCCUCAUUUACUCUGCUCUUGUCACUGACCCUACCCUGUAGAGCCGGGUGGGACAGUGCGUGCUCUCCACCUGGGCAUUCAAGGCCUUGGUGCCAACUCGGUGCCCCCUCCCCAUUUCUGGCACAGCCCUCUGUUCUGGCAAAAUUCCUCUGUGUCCCCGGAACGUGCCACGAUUUUGCUACCUCUGAGCCUUUGUCUGCAACCCCCACCACGCCUGGGCUGCCCGCUCUGUUUCUCCUCCUGGGCCGACAGGGCAGGUCUGGAGUUGGAGGAACCUCGCACAAACCCUAAUUACAGACCCUGACACUGCUGACCUAGGAAGCUGCGCGACGUUGGACAAGCACACGAACCUCUCUGAGCUUUGAUCGCUUCACGUGAAAACGUCAUUCUAAUAGGUAGCUGUGAACUUGGCGGCACCAGAGACCACCAGGAUCUACAUGAUAAUCGAAGCCCCCGAAAAGGGUGCCAUUGCCUGGGAGGUGGAGAGGAAGGAGAGGCGGCUUGGGACACGGAGCAGACACGGAGCGCGUGCCUGUGAGCAGGCAGGUGACUCGGGCCUGGUCUCCCGGCAGGUGCUAAACCGUCAUCUGUCCCAGGUUCCCCCUCAUGGGCGAGGGCACCCCUGCUCACCGCUCACCCCGUUCCCCAACACCGUCCCUCUCCGUCCCGAGGACAGGGCCACACGAGCGGAACACAGAAUAAGGAGUCCUACCACCAGUGGACCUGCCCCUUGGGGGCACUUAGCUGCAAGGACACGGCCGCGUGAUGCCGCCCCAGGGGUGACGCCCACUCCCAUCCGCUCCUGUCCCCAAGGCCUCCCUUUGACUUCUGCAGCUCCCAGGCUGGGCCUGCGGGCCGCCCAGCCUCCUGAGAGUGUCUGCGCUCUGGGCCCCGUCACCCUGGGAGCCCCAGCCACCCCUUGCCGCAGGGGGGUGGGCAGGGUGCCCUGGACACACUUCCCUUGUGUGGACUGGCUCAUCGGAUCCCAUGGGGGCCUGUGGGAGCGUCAGUGCCGUGGGAACGUUGUCGUGAGUCCCGCACCGUGGCCAAACCGAAGCACCGAGUCGCCCACCCACGGACACACAGGAAGGCGGACGAGCUGCGACCCACAUGCAGACCCAGGGCUUCACGGAGCCCCAGAGAGCACGGCUGUGGACAGACCCCAGCCCCUCGUCCUCAUCUGACGGGCCAGAAUGUCAUUGGCCGAUUUCAGGGGGACCGUGGAAGCUGUCUUGCCCCAGCCCGAGGAUCUGCUCUGAUGCUCCCAGGAGCUGUCUGGGGUCUGGCCCGAGCUGGGGCUCUGCCCUAUGCCCCCUGCACCUGACGGGGGCAAGACAGGGGCCUGGGUGCUGGGUCCGAAGGGCAGGUGGGGACCUGAAGCCGGGGGCCUCCAGGCCUCGGUGUGGCUGUGGUCUUUCGGAGCUGGGGCUCGGCCCUGCCGCUCAGCCUGCUUUUCUCUUCCAUUCUCUACCUCGGCCCCGAUGAGUGCUGCUUCUUCCAGGAAGACCGCCCUGCUUCCCCUGGACCUGAGGUAGUGACUUGCCCUGUGCUCCCAGAAUACCCUCUACCCCUGUCUCUGCCAAUGGAAUUUAGGUUCCUUGAGGGCUGAGGCCAUGCCUUCUUGCCCACCUGGUGUCCUCGGCACCCGGCCUCACACAUCACAGGCUUGCAACAGCUGGGACAGGAGCCAGCGUUAUCUCUCGCUCCCGUUCCCCUCUGGGGACGAAGCUCACUGCCUCACCGCCUAAGGCUCCCAGCUGCUCCCUCCCCCACUGGGACCACAUCCAGCCAGAAAUGAUGCAAAGGUCUCCUGUGUCACACAGAACAGAAGCAGAGGCAAGGUGGACAAAGGAGGCGGUGGGGUAGGGGAACUCCUGGAAGAGGUGACUCGGUCGCGUGGGAAAUCAGAGACUGGGAGCGGUCUAUCACGUGAAGGGCCUACUCAGAGUGUUCUGGGUGAGGAGGAGCGAGUGCAAAGGCCCUGGGGCAGGAACCAGCUUGGCAGUUUUGCGGGCCACACAGGUCCAGAGCAGUGGAGCUGGGUGAGCUGUGGGUCUUAUUCCAAGUGUGUCAGAAGCCAGGGAACAACGUGCCGUGACUCGGCCAGAGGCCGGCCUUCCUGGCGCCAGGGUGGCUCGCUGAGCCGAGGCUGAGCAGCAGGGCUCGGAGGAUUCCCGGGGGUCCCACGGCCUCCCCGGCCCCGGCCACCCGGGUGGUCCUGCACGUGCUGGCCGUGAUCUGGAAAUGUUGGUAGAAGGCACGGGCAAGGAGCAAUGCGUCCCGUGGAGGCGGCUGGGGGCCGCGGGAGCACACUCACCUUCCGGUUCCCAGAGUUGAUAUGACCUAGCAAGAAGCAGGUCAGGGGCGGAGAGAACCUGUUUUUCAGCCACCCACAGGGAUGCAGACAUGGCUCAAUGACCAUUUUCGCCUUUGAGCAAAAACAGCGAGGCCCGCCUCUGUCUGAGCUCCCGGUACUUACACGAAGGUAUGAGUUAUACGGUAAAAAGGCAUUAAGUUCUAUGACAGAAAGGGGCCAUUCUUCUUCCCUCCCAUUAGAAAGGCCUGACCUGCCGUAAGGGUGCCGCCCUCUGCACGGGGUCUCACCCCGUCCCUGGGGGACCCACAAGGCACACCUCCCUCUCCACUUCCUCCCACAUGACUGGUGAGGAAGGAAACUGAGACUCAGAGGGCCGUAAACACCUCCCUAAGGCCCAGGCCAGAACGAGCAGGAGAGGACUCCCCGUCCUGCGCUGCUGAAAAUAAUCCCUUCUCGUGAAGUAGUUCAUUCGCACAAGAGGACAGAGGGGGACACUAAGGUGACACGGACACCACAUGCCACCUCCGACCUAAGACAGAGAAGCAAGACAUGCCAGGACCCAGCAGCCCGGCUCCCGCGCUGGCCGGCGACCCUCUGCCCCACAGAUUCAUUUAUUUAUUUGAGAGAGCAGCGAGUGGGGAAGAGAGAGAGAGACAGUCUCCUGCAAGACUCUGCACUGAGCACAGAGCCCGAUGCAGGACUUGAUCAUGAUCAUGACCUGAGCGGAAAUCAAGUCGGACGCUCAGCCGACUAAGCCCCCAGGCACCCCCUCUUCUUUCUCUAAGGACACAGCCGUUCCACGUGGGACCCACCGUAAAUCCAGUAUGGUCUCCCCUCGACAUCCUUAACUUGAUCACCUCUGCAAAGACCUGUGUUCCCAAUAAGAUUGCGUUCCCAGGGACUCGGGCUUCGGACAUGGACGUAACUUUCCGGGCGUCUGUUCCCCCACCGUGUAGAGGAAUGUGCUCCAAAAUUUACUUAGUUGUUGGGGUGUUUGAUCAAGCAGUUUAGGGCCCUGCGGGAGUGAGGAUGUCCCUGAUACCGCCUGUCCUGGUGGGGAGGGUCACACCUUGUGCCCCUCAGCGCCCUAGCUGCUCAGCGGGGUGCGGGAGGAGACCAGCCAUCCAGGCUGCUGGAGGUUCCUCGGGAGCUGGCGUGGGUGUAGGAUGCGGACAGCCGCGGAGAGGGGCGGCCAGUGCUUCCCGUCUGCGCUGCCAGACACGGCUCCCGGCUCGUGCCCACCACCCUCCUCCCUCAGACUAGCUUGGACAAUCCAAGGCCAUCUGCCAUGGCCACCAGUCCUUGCAUCCUGUCCCGUCCUCUGGGGCGUGUCUCCCCUUGUCAUUUAGAGAAACGGGUUGGGUAAUGACUUGUUCAGGGCUUGUCUCCCCUGGGAUCUUGCCUGUUCCUUUCCUUCCUGCCUUGCAGGCCCUCCAGAGGUCACUGUGGACCGAAUGCAUGCGAUGGAGCCUGGGGGACCCAGACCCUUCUUAGUCUGGUCCACAGGAGACUGCGUGCUGGGCAGGGUCACCGUGGGGCGCCCGAGCAGCCCGGGAGGAAGGGGUUCCUGCAGACGGUCUUGCUGGGGCCCCUCCCAUGAGCCCCCGCUUCAUACUGGAGAUCAAGACGGAGGGACAGACUGCCGCCCGGCCCGGCCCGGCCCACAGGUGGGGUUGAUACCCGGGCCCCUGGCCGGCCGCUCUAACCUCCUCUCUGCUCCGACUUGGGGAAGGGCUCCUCCUUCCUCCACUCGGCGACCUCCCACCUUGGGAAAACUCGUGCAAAUCCUCGGAGAGACCCCACACGCUCUCCUUCUGCCUGAGGCAGAAAAGCCAAGCCUCCCAGCAGAAAGCUAUGAAUUCUCGUGAACAGGACCUCGGCAGCAGAGCUGCUGUACUGCGGGGACCCUCACUUCUCCCAGGCGCUCAGAAGCCCCUUUGCUCAGCCCUGCCUCCCACAGCGGCUGCUUGUGCCUGGCCUGGGGCCUUGGGCCUCUGGGGCUUCAUCAGGAGCCAGGGACGCGGCCACCUUCUCUGGCGCAGGAGAGGAACUCCCCACGGGUGGAGACUUCCAUCCUAAUAAUAAUAAUAAUAAUAAUAAUGAUAAAUUCCCAGCCCAUUGUCCCCCACUGUGCAAGGAUCAGCCUCUUGCCCUUCCUGUGUUCUAAAUCCCACACAGGUUCUGAGAAUGUCGUCGCUCAGUCUCAGCCAAGCCGGAGGCUCUUCUUUCCUCCCCUUGGGGACCGGAGAAGGUGCACGGGCCGCGGGCACCAGGCAAGGCUGGAACGGAAGGCAGGGGCGGGGGAGGAGGGCGGCCUGGGGCCUGGGGCGGCCGGGGUGGCUGCAGCCGGCCGUCCAGGCUCCGUUGGUGGGAAACACGUUUGCCUCACGCGUGUGGACACGUUUCUCCUCCCGUGGGAUCCGACCCACGCCGCCGUUAGGAUCUCAAGUCGCGCGCUCCCUACCUAAGCAGGCAGCCUGGAGCAAGCCUCGGUGUGCGAAAGCGGAGACAGCCCCGGGAAAUCACAGGAUUGCGCGGAGACAGCCC